CUUUUAAUCCGAACCCUAUGGGUACCCAAGGGCACCAUUCCUCUAUAGUACACUACUGUUGAUCAGAACUCUAUGGGUACCCAAGGGCACCAUUCCCUCUACAGUACACUACUGUUGACCAGAACUCUAUGGGUAACCAAGGGCACUAUUCCCUCUAUAGUGCACUACUGUUGACCAGAACUCCAUGGGUAACCAAGGGCACCAUUCCCUCUAUAGUGCACUACUUUUAGUCCAGAACUCUAUGGGUACACAAGGGCACCAUUCCCUCUAUAGUGCACUACUGUUGACCAGGGAACGUAUGCUAAAGUAGUGCACUAGCCUAGUGGUUCGAGUGUUGGGACAGUAUGCUAAAGUAGUGCACUAGCCUAGUGGUUAGAGUGUUGGGCCAGUAUGCUAAAGUAUUGCACUAGCCUAGUGGUUAGAGUGUGUGGGCCAGUAUGCUAAAGCAGUGCACUAGCCUAGUGGUUAGAGUGUUGGGCCAGUAUGCUAAAGUAGUGCACUAGCCUAGUGGUUAGAGUGUUGGGCCAGUAUGCUAAAGUAGUGCACUAGCCUAGUGGUUAGAGUGUUGGGCCAGUAUGCUAAAGUAGUGCACUAGCCUAGUGGUUAGAGUGUUGGGCCAGUAUGCUAAAGCAGUGCACUAGCCUAGUGGUUAGAGUGUUGGGCCAGUAUGCUAAAGCAUUGCACUAGCCUAGUGGUUAGAGUGUGUCUGCCAGUAUGCUAAAGCAGUGCACUAGCCUAGUGGUUAGAGUGUUGGGCCAGUAUGCUAAAGCAGUGCACUAGCCUAGUGGUUAGAGUGUGUGGCCAGUAUGCUAAAGCAGUGCACUAGCCUAGUGGUUAGAGUGUUGGGCCAGUAUGCUAAAGUAGUGCACUAGCCUAGUGGUUAGAGUGUUGGGCCAGUAUGCUAAAGUAGUGCACUAGCCUAGUGGUUAGAGUGUUGGGCCAGUAUGCUAAAGUAGUGCACUAGCCUAGUGGUUAGAGUGUUGGGCCAGUAUGCUAAAGCAGUGCACUAGCCUAGUGGUUAGAGUGUUGGGCCAGUAUGCUAAAGUAGUGCACUAGCCUAGUGGUUAGAGUGUUGG
ensembl:lncRNA